rnacentral:rRNA from 1 species
UUCGCCUCAGUAACGGCGAGUGAAGCGGCAACAGCUCAAAUUUGAAAUCUGGCUUCGGUCCGAGUUGUAAUUUGUAGAGGAUGCUUCGGCUUACGUACCGGUCUAAGUUCCUUGGAACAGGACGUCACAGAGGGUGAGAAUCCCGUUUGUGGCCGGCACUUCCGCCAUGUGAAGCUCCUUCGACGAGUCGAGUUGUUUGGGAAUGCAGCUCUAAAUGGGAGGUAAAUUUCUUCUAAAGCUAAAUACCGGCCAGAGACCGAUAGCGCACAAGUAGAGUGAUCGAAAGAUGAAAAGCACUUUGGAAAGAGAGUUAAAAAGUACGUGAAAUUGUUGAAAGGGAAGCGCUUGCGACCAGACUUGCCCGCGGAUGCUCAACCGGUCCUUCGGCCGGUGCACUCUUCCGCGGUCAGGCCAGCAUCAGUUCGGGCGGUCGGAUAAAGGCCUUGGGAAUGUGGCUCUCUUCGGGGAGUGUUAUAGCCCUUGGUGCAAUACGGCCCGCCUGGACUGAGGCCCGCGCUUCGGCUAGGAUGCUGGCGUAAUGGUCGUAAGCGGCCCGUCUUGAAACACGGACCAAGGAGUCUAACAUCUAUGCGAGUGUUUGGGUGUCAAACCCGUGCGCGAAAUGAAAGUGAACGGAGGUGGGAACCAUUGGGUGCACCAUCGACCGAUCCUGAUGUCUUCGGAUGGAUUUGAGUAAGAGCAUAGCUGUUGGGACCCGAAAGAUGGUGAACUAUGCCUGAAUAGGGUGAAGCCAGAGGAAACUCUGGUGGAGGCUCGCAGCGGUUCUGACGUGCAAAUCGAUCGUCAAAUUUGGGUAUAGGGGCGAAAGACUAAUCGAACCAUUACUGAAUGUACCGGGCAUGUGUAGAUGUGCCUGCUACUAGGUGGUUAAGAGGCGGC